rnacentral:ribozyme from 1 species
CUUGCAAUGAUAACAACACAAACCAACGAUAGUAAGAAGAAGAAAUGAGUACAGAGUAAAAACGAUUUUACAUGCAUUGUGCUUCUCUUUUUUUGUUUUCUUCAUUGUUUUUUUAUUCGUUC